CCUACGGGAGGCAGCAGUGAGGAAUAUUGGUCAAUGGGCGAAAGCCUGAACCAGCCAAGCCGCGUGAAGGAUGAAGGAUCUCUGGUUUGAAAACUCCUUUUAUAUGGGGAUAAAGUGAGGAACGUGUUCCUUUUUGUAUUUACCAUAUGAAUAAGCAUAGGCUAACUCCGUGCCGGCAGCCCCGGUAAUACGGAGGGUGCGAUCGUUAUCCGGAUUUAUUGGGUUUAAAGGGUGCGUAGGUGGUUAGUUAAGUCAGCGGUGAAAGUUUGUGGCUCAACCAUAAAAUUGCCGUUGAUACUGGUUGACUUGAGUAUAUUAGAGGUAGGUGGAAUGCGUGGUGUAGCGGUGAAAUGCGUAGAGAUCACGAAGAACUCCGAUGGCGAAGGCAGCUUACUAAACUAUAACUGACACUGAGGCACGAAAGCGUGGGGAUCAAACAGGAUUAGAUACCCCAGUAGUC
rnacentral:rRNA from 1 species